rnacentral:rRNA from 1 species
CCUACGGGAGGCAGCAGUGAGGAAUAUUGGUCAAUGGACGAGAGUCUGAACCAGCCAAGUAGCGUGAAGGAGGACUGCCCUAUGUGUUGUAAACCUCUUUUAUAUGGGAAUAAAGUGUUCCACGCGUGGGAGUUUGUAUGUACCAUAUGAAUAAGGAUCGGCUAACUCCGUGCCAGCAGCCGCGGUAAUACGGAGGAUGCGAGCGUUAUCCGGAUUUAUUGGGUUUAAAGGGAGCGUAGGUGGAUUGUUAAGUCAGUUGUUAAAGUGUGCGGCUCAACCGUCAAAUUGCAGUUGAAACUGGCAGUCUUGAGUACAGUAGAGGUGGGCGGAAUGCGUGGUGUAGCGGUGAAAUGCUUAGAUAUCACGCAGAACUCCGAUUGCGAAGGCAGCUCACUGGACUGACACUGACACUGAGGCUCGAAAGUGUGGGUAUCGAACAGGAUUAGAUACCCUGGUAGUC